GACGGGACCCGCACAAGCGGUGGAUGAUUGUGGAUUUAAUUCGAUGCAACGCGAAAAACCUUACCUACCCUUGACAUGUCCGGAAUCCCGAAGAGAUUUGGGAGUGCUCGCAAGAGAACCGGAACACAGGUGCUGCAUGGCUGUCGUCAGCUCGUGUCGUGAGAUGUUGGGUUAAGUCCCGCAACGAGCGCAACCCUUGUCAUUAGUUGCCAUCAUUUGGUUGGGCACUCUAAUGAGACUGCCGGUGACAAACCGGAGGAAGGUGGGGAUGACAUCAAGUCCUCAUGGCCCUUAUGGGUAGGGCUUCACACGUCAUACAAUGGUCGGUACAGAGGGUUGCCAACCCGCGAGGGGGAGCUAAUCCCACAAAGCCGAUCGUAGUUCGGAUCGCAGUCUGCAACUCGACUGCGUGAAGUCGGAAUCGCUAGUAAUCGUGGAUCAGCAUGUCACGGUGAAUACGUUCCCGGGUCUU
rnacentral:rRNA from 1 species